rnacentral:rRNA from 1 species
AGUGAACGCUGGCGGUAGGCCUAACACAUGCAAGUCGAACGAGUGGCGGACGGGUGAGGAAUACAUCGGAAUCUCCUUUUUCGUGGGGGAUAACGUAGGGAAACUUACGCUAAUACCGCAUACGAUUGAAUGAGCCGAUGUCGGAUUAGCUAGUUGGGGGGGUAAAGGCACACAAGGGCGACGAGCCGUAGCUGGUCUGAGAGGCUGAUCAGCCACACUGGAACUGAGACACGGUCCAGACUCCUACGGGAGGCAGCAGUGGGGAAUAUUGGACAAUGGGCGCAAGCCUGAUCAAGCCAUACCGCGUGGGUGAAGAAGGCCUUCGGGUUGUAAAGCCCUUUUGUUGGGAAAGCGGUACCCAAAGAAUAAGCACCGGCUAACUUCGUGCCAGCAGCCGCGGUAAUUC